AUUGAACGCUGGCGGCAGGCCUAACACAUGCAAGUCGAACGGUAACAGGAAGCAGCUUGCUGCUUUGCUGACGAGUGGCGGACGGGUGAGUAAUGUCUGGGAAACUGCCCGAUGGAGGGGGAUAACUACUGGAAACGGUAGCUAAUACCGCAUAACGUCGCAAGACCAAAGAGGGGGACCUUAGGGCCUCUUGCCAUCGGAUGUGCCCAGAUGGGAUUAGCUAGUAGGUGGGGUAACGGCUCACCUAGGCUACGAUCCCUAGCUGGUCUGAGAGGAUGAUCAGCCACACUGGAACUGAGACACGGUCCAGACUCCUACGGGAGGCAGCAGUGGGGAAUAUUGCACAAUGGGGGCAAGCCUGAUGCAGCCAUGCCGCGUGUAUGAAGAAGGCCUUCGGGUUGUAAAGUACUUUCAGCGGGGAGGAAGGGAGUAAAGUUAAUACCUUUGCUCAUUGACGUUACCCGCAGAAGAAGCACCGGCUAACUCCGUG
rnacentral:rRNA from 1 species